AUAACAGUCCAGCCCAUUCCAAAUUGAACAGAAACCCAUCCAAAUUACAACUUCAACAGCAACGCAUACCAACCGACCCCACCAGUGUCUUCUUCCUCGCGAGAACCCAGCGAAAUCGCGACCCAAAUCGAACCAGUCCAAAAUCGCGACCCAGUCCAGCAACACUGCAAACAACGAUUCCAGUGACCCCGCGCGUGUCCGUCCUUUCCCAUCUCUCUCUCUUUAUCCUCUUGUGACUUGUAUGAGUAAUGUACUCGAUUUUUCCAGCUGUCUCCAUCUUGACGCCUCACUUGUCCUUGCUCGAAAUCAAGCGUCCCUCGUCAAUUUUUCCGUUGAGAAUGUUCGGAUUGAAAGAGGUGGUGGAGUCGUAUUCUCAACUAGUCGUUUUAGUUCGCUGCCCAGAACUAGGUAGUCUCUUUGCUCUUUCUUUAGUCUUUUCUUUCUGUUGCAUUGUGAAAUUGUUGUUUGUUUUAGUGUUGUUAAUCGUCUUUUAGAUUCAAUGUGUUUAAUGUGAUGUUUAUGUGAAGGACAGUAAAAGUUUUUCAUUAUCUUGUUCACUUAGUUAAGUCAAUUUUGAAUAAGUGUAUUAAGUUUGUUGAUCUGUUGAUGGCUGUUCUCUUAUAAUUUAUAGGUCACAAUGUGAUUCUUUUACUUACUCGAGCUCAUAAAUCUAUAUAUGUGCUUUAGUUAUUGUUAUUCUUAUUCGACUUUGAAAUCCAUGUUAAUAUAGUUGCCGAUUUCUCUUCAUUGCCUUCUUAAAGAUAUAAGUUGUAUAUUCUGUCACUUCGAGUUUGUUUAGACUAAAAUGUUAUGUUAAGCUUCGCUGCCACUAAAAUGUGUUUUCGGCUAAUUUCUUGUAUAGUUCGAAACAACCAAAUUAUUGUUACUCCGUCUAGCUCUUCUUUAUUAUCGUAGCAUGCUUGUUCGAAUCUCAGUUUUGGUGCAGUUGAUUGUCGUUCUUGUGAUUAAAAGUUAUCCCAGCUCAAGUUGAAGCUCUUUUCCUUUCUUUCGCUCGAGUAUGGACCUAUUUGUUACUUCCAAAUAAAAUAGAUAUAGCUGGGUCAUAUAGUCAUCUGAUGUAAGUGUGUAAUUUUCUGAAGUAUGUUCUGUUAUGAGUGAAAUCUGAUGAUUGCCUUUGAAUUCUUGAUUCCUUUUUCCUGCAUCUAGUCGCCUGUUUAUGAAUUUGGAAGAUAAAUUAUGGAUUUUUCUUAUGUUUUCAUUCACAACCUGCCGUAAUAGCUAUCACCAGUUCUCUCAAGAAUUAAAAAUGAUUCCUUUUUGUUCUUAUGAUCUGGGAAUUCAUGUUACUUUCACCUUCCAACAGUUUUAUAAUCAUUGUUAUUUCCAGGAGCGUAUUUACUUGGCCAAAUGUCUCUUGUGUUAACUAAAAUUUUUGACUUGAUCUUUUGUUUCUCUGUUUGCCGAUGUAAAAUUUAAAGUUUAUAGCGAAUCGUUUAAAUUGUCUCGUUCCUUGUCUACCUGCUGAUCUUCUCUUGCUUAAAUCCAUGACUAAAGCUUGUGGUUAUUUCUUCUCUUAAUUUGAACAUGAAAAAUAUAAAAUGUGUAGCCAUUGAAAUUUGUUUUCUUUGUUUCUGUUGAUUUUCCUCUUCGUUUGAUAGAUUCGAUUUACUUUGUUAAAUGUUGUUUGAGCCAUCACCAUUCCUUUCUUGAUUAUUUGCUAAUCCUCCUUUCCCUCAUUUUUCUUUUCAUGUGACACUCGUUUGAGUCCAUUUGGAUUCCCCACCUAUUGCAUAUUCUUCUUUUCCGAAUCAACCUCUACCAAGUUACGAAAGGGAAGCUGAUAUAUUGGGUUGAGACCCAAAAAAAACAGCAGCACAGUGACAGGUUGACAGCAGUCCUAAACGGCUGAAAUUUGAAUAUUUUGGACUUAAAAGCUUGGUAAAAUGACCAGCAGUAGCAGAGACCUCAAAAUGGCCGAAAAAGGAGGAACAAAAUUGGGUUUAAACCCAGAGAAACCAGUAGGAUGGCGGCAGUCCCUGAAGGGCUGAAAAUUGGAUUCUUUUCGGACUUGAAAAGUCCAGUUAGAUCGGCAGCAACAAAGAGCAUUUAGGCCAAGUGGCCAGAUUUUUGUUAUUUGUUUUCUUGACUUAUGUUCUUAAUUUGUUUUAGAAAUGCUAACACUUUCUUCUUAUAUCUAA